CCUACGGGAGGCUGCAGUGAGGAAUAUUGGUCAAUGGACGAGAGUCUGAACCAGCCAAGUAGCGUGAAGGAUGACUGCCCUAUGGGUUGUAAACUUCUUUUAUAUGGGAAUAAAAUGUUCCACGUGUGGGAUUUUGUAUGUACCAUAUGAAUAAGGAUCGGCUAACUCCGUGCCAGCAGCCGCGGUAAUACGGAGGAUCCGAGCGUUAUCCGGAUUUAUUGGGUUUAAAGGGAGCGUAGGUGGAUUGUUAAGGCAGUUGUGAAAGGUUGCGGCUCAACCGUAAAAUUGCAGUUGAAACUGGCAGUCUUGAGUACAGUAGAGGUGGGCGGAAUUCGUGGUGUAGCGGUGAAAUGCUUAGAUAUCACGAAGAACUCCGAUUGCGAAGGCAGCUCACUGGACUGCAACUGACACUGAGGCUCGAAAGUGUGGGUAUCAAACAGGAUUAGAGACCCUGGUAGUC
rnacentral:rRNA from 1 species